AGUCUAUGGAGCUAGAUGGCUAAAUGAAUGGUAGUCUAUAGAACUAGACGGCUAAAUUAAUGGGAGUCUAUGGAGCUAGAUGCUAAAUGAAUGGUAGUCUAUGGAGCUAUGCGGCUAAAUGAAUGGGAUUCUAUGGAGCUAGAUGGCUAAAUGAAUGGUAGUCUAUAGAACUAGACGGCUAAAUUAAUGGGAGUCUAUGGAGCUAGACGGCUAAAU